GUCCUAGCAGUAAACGGUGCUCGCUUGGUGUGAGGGGAUUCGACCCCCUUCGUGCCGGAGCUAACGCGUUAAGCGAGCCGCCUGGGGAGUACGGUCGCAAGACUAAAACUCAAAGAAAUUGACGGGGACCCGCACAAGCGGUGGAGUAUGUGGCUUAAUUCGAUGCAACGCGAAGAACCUUACCUGGGCUUGACAUGCCGUCAUAGUCCCGCGAAAGCGGGAUGUCAGUUUGGCUGGACGUGCACAGGUGCUGCAUGGCC
rnacentral:rRNA from 1 species